rnacentral:rRNA from 1 species
AAUCACUUGUCUUUUAAAUAAAGACCUGUAUGAAUGGCNUCACGAGGGCUCAACUGUCUCCUCUNUCAAGUNAAUGAAAUUGAUCUCCCCGUGCAGAAGCGGGGAUAAACACAUAAGACGAGAAGACCCUAUGGAGCUUUAGACACUAAAGCAGACCGACAUUAAGACCCCAGACACGGGAACACAAAUAAAUUGGGGCCUGCCCUAAUGUCUUNGGUUGGGGCGACCGUGGAGAACAAUAAAACCUCCACAAGGACCGAAUGUAUAGCAUUCACAACCAAGAACGACAGUUCUAAUUAACAGAAUUUCUGACCAAUAAGAUCCGGCAUCGCCGAUCAAUGAACCGAGUUACCCUAGGGAUAACAGCGCAAUCUCCUCUUAGAGG